AGGACGCCAGAGAUUAAAGGAGCUUCACAGGAGCUGAGUCUUAAGUCUGAGAGGUCAACAUGCUUGAUUAUGUGAAAUACAACUGUGAGAAAGCACUUAGGUUGCAUAAGCAAGUUGAAGAUCUUAUUCGGAUUGAUAAUAAGUCUCGAUUUGUUUCGUUGGUUAGAAGGGUGUUGGAAAAGAAGAAUUUUGUGACUAACGAAAGUGUACUUGACUCAAAGGAUGUGCUGAUGUGGAUAUGUUCCCACCAAGCAUUAGCUUGUGCCACGGCAUUGCUGGAAGGAAAGACUGGACUAUCUGUGGAUCUUAAUGUGACGCUCAAAUGUGGGUUUUACCCAUUGCACUAUGCAGCUGAAAAUUUAUGUUGCGGCCUUACAGAUGUUUUUCUGAAGCAUGGAGCUUUAACUUCCCUUCCUUGCAGCGUUCAUGGGUCAAGAUAUAGUGGAAAGCUCCCCUAAGUGUGGCACUUGAGGCAAUAGGCUGUCAUCCAUUCCUGCGUGAUUGGAGUCCCAAUAAAUCGAUCUUCAAGCUAAUUUAUAUUUUUUGCCUGCCGGAAAUGGCAGAGCCAUUGGAGACCUUAAAACUGCUGGCCUUGCAUACUGAAGAGUUGCAGGUGAUAAGUUCCUCAAAUGUUCAUGAGGGGAGACUUGUUGAGCUAGUUGCUCUAUUGUUGGUUGCUAGGGAAAAAUUACUUGCUCCGGCUAUUGAUAACAGUGUUGAUGGAUCCUUUAUUGGGCAGUGCAUCCUAAAAGAAUUAGCUUUAUUACUUGAUCAAGAGGUUAAGUUAAUGGGUACUGCCCAUAAUGAGGAGUUGAACAGGUGCAGGCAAAUGAAAGAUGCAAUAGGUUCUAUGGGAUUGAUGCUUAAUGUUUUUGAUAAGGCUGGCGGUCCCAUUGAUAGAUUUCGCUACUUCAUUGCACUUGGGAAUGAUAUACCACCACACAUCGUUGUACGAAAUGUGAUUUGUUUGCUCAGAUUUGGGGUUUGCUUUGAAGACGGAGGACAUUGAUGUGUCUGAUAUAAGUUGGCAAGCAUUAUAUAGCUAUAAUUGUCGACAAAGGAGUACAUGAAGGAAGAAGGAAGGAAAAAUAGUGCAGGAUCUGUUUCUAAAAGUGAUCCGCAUGCAGAUCAGGUCCAGCUGCAGAUUGGGGGCUGAGACUCCCCUUUUGGAUCUGCUAUGCAGAUCUGCAACACACUAAAGAAAUUCUAAGGUGGCUGCUAUUCUGAUUUUAUUCGUUUUUGCCGAUUUCAAGUGUAUUUUCUUUCCUUUUCAAUUUAUAAUACUUAAGGCCCAUAAAUAAGUGUUCCUAGGAUUUAUUUGGACAGCUUUUGACAUUAUUAUUAAAAUUUUAAUACUUCUGCAUUGGAUUUUUUUCCUUUUCUUGAGUGUUUACAAGGUUGGAUUCUUGUUGAAUCUAGAUGGGAUUCUUGUUGAAUCUUGGUUUUCCUUUUGGGGUACUAUCAUGUAUCAACUCCUGAUUUGUUUUUUGGAUUAGUUCGUGAAACUAUUCCUAUUAAAUUUUUUCUGCUACCACAUCAAGGGCGUGAAAAACCAAAGCUUCCACCACGAUCUUGCAAUACAACAUCCUCCCUACUCCAUGCAGUUGGUAUUUAGGCUAGAACCUUUUCUGAGGUGAGCCUAGGUUGUCCUCCAUUGUCUGUUAGAGGCUCUUAAUGUAAUUUAUUUUAUAAUUUGAGGGAUCUAGCAGAAAUAUUGCCUAAACGCAAGGGUGUGAAUUGUGAAAUGUAAUAAAGUAUUGAUGCAAUACUAGCUAUCACUGACCUUCACCCUAUUUGUUCUUGAAUUGAUACUGGCAAUGUGGCGGAACAAGCAUGGUGACCAGAUUGAACCUCCAGGAAUCAGCAAGACUCAGUAUGGCUCUUGACAAUAUACUGCAGCCCAAGUCAAGCUGGUCUGACUUCAAUCAGAACUCCGUAAAUGGUGAUGGGGGACAGCGGCAGAUUCAAAUGAAUUCCCCGUUCCCUGCUGGAAUCUCGGUUUCUUCGUUGAAAUCAUUCCAUACAUGUCUAAGAUUCAUGCCCAGGUCUGCGCCUGUGCCAGCGCCACCAAGGGGAACUCAGAAAAUAAUCAGAGGCAUGCAACCUGGGUCCAGGCUUUGUUGGGCUACUCAUUGGGCCUUUCGUGCCCUUACUAUCAAGAGAAGGAUUUGAUGAUACCUACCUAUCUACCUAGUUUGACUGUGGAACACUAACACCUCAUUGAGUAUUACCCAUUGUUGAAGUGUCGAUUAACAUCAUUAGAAAUGUUUCUUGGGUUGUGAACCAUCUUUGAGUUGGACUGGAAUUGAAUUUCCAACAGACAACUACUGCUAGUACUACUUCGGCACAGAUCCAAAUGGGAAAAUUUAGCGUAGGGGUGUUGUCUUUUUAGUGCUUUAAUUGUUACUAGUAUUUUCUAUUUGAAUCACUCAUCUUGCUGAACUUUUGCCAUAUAUAUCAUGAAAUCUAAUUAUAUUUUCCCUAAA